rnacentral:rRNA from 1 species
GACGAACGCUGGCGGCGUGCUUAACACAUGCAAGUCGAACGGGGUGUUUAUUUCGGUAAACACCAAGUGGCGAACGGGUGAGUAACGCGUAAGCAAUCUACCUUCAAGAUGGGGACAACACUUCGAAAGGGGUGCUAAUACCGAAUGAAUGUAAGAGUAUCGCAUGAGACACUUACUAAAGGAGGCCUCUGAAAAUGCUUCCGCUUGAAGAUGAGCUUGCGUCUGAUUAGCUAGUUGGUGAGGGUAAAGGCCCACCAAGGCGACGAUCAGUAGCCGGUCUGAGAGGAUGAACGGCCACAUUGGGACUGAGACAGGGCCCAGACUCCUACGGGAGGCAGCAGUGGGGAAUCUUCGCAAUGGGCGAAAGCCUGACGGAGCAACGCCGCGUGAACGA